NNNNNNNNNGGAGCUGUCCCCGCCAUCCCGGAGCUGUUCCCAGUGAGCCCGGAGCUGUCCCCGCCAUCCCGGAGCUGUUCCCGAUGAGCCCGGAGCUGUCCCCGCCGCUCCCCGCUCUGUCCCCACCGCUCCCCGCUCUCUCCCCGCCGCUCCCCGCUCUGUCCCCGCUGUUCCCCUCUGUGUCCCCACCGCGUUCCGGCUCAUCCCGAUUUUCCCCGGCGGGUGCCACAUUCCCGAUCCCCGCCACUUUCCCGGCUGCUUUUCCCUCUCCCCGAUGGAUCCCGGGGUUCCUCUGUCCCCGCCGCUCCCGGGCGCUGCUCCUCGCUCCCCGCUGCGUGCCGAGAUUCCCGGUCCCCGCCGCUCCCGGCCGGUUUUCUCCAUCCCCCGAUGGAUCCCGGUGCUCCCGGAUCCCCUCCACUCCCGUUCCCGCCGGAUCCCGGUGCUCCCGGAUCUCCUCCAUCCCCGUUCCCGCCGGUCCCCGGUGCUCCCCUCUGGUUCCCGGUGCUCCCGGAUCCCUGCGACCCCCAUUCCCGCUGGUUCUUGGUGCUCCCGGAUCCCGGGAUCUGCUCCCCGCUCCUCCACACUCCCGUUCCCACCGGAUCCCGGUGCUCCCGGAUCCCCCCAUUCCAGUUCCUGCUGGAUCCCGGUGCUCCCGGAACCCUGCCGCUCCCUCCGGUCCCCGGUGCUCUCCGCUGUUUCCUGGUGCUCCGGGAUCCCCCCACCCCCUCUCCUGCUGGAUCCCGGUGCUCCCGGAUCCCUGCCGCUCCCGCCGGUCCCCGGUGCUCUCCGCUGGAUCCCGGUGCUCCGGGAUCCCCCCGCCCCCUCUCCCGCUGGAUCCCGGUGCUCCCGGAUCCCCCCCAACCCUUCUCCCGGCUCCCCGCCGCUCUCCCAGUUCAGCACCGCGCCCUCCGGGACAGCUCCGCGCUCCCCGCUGACGCUCCGGGGGCUCCCCGCUCCCGUCCCCGGGGCUCCCCCGUCCCGUCCCCGGUGCCCUCCCCGCUCCCGGCGGGGCCCCUCGAUGUGUUUUGGGUAGAGUAGCCUUGUAGCCAAGUGUGUGUGGCGCAGGUAGCCCCGGUAGCCCUGCUGGUCCCAGUGGUCCCGGUGUCCCCGGUAGCCCUGGUGGUCCCGGUAGCUCCAGUGGCCCCGGUAGCCCCGGUGCCCCCGGUAGCCCUUGUGGCCCCGCUGAUCCCGUUAGCUCCGGUAGCCCCGGUGGCUCCGGUAGCCCUGGU
rnacentral:lncRNA from 1 species